rnacentral:rRNA from 1 species
AUGGUGAAAAUUAAGUCGUUUAUACUCUACACUCCGGGCUGUAGCUUGAAAAGUGAACCCGCCUAUCUAUGGCUCUGGUUCCUUCUGUCUGUGGACCUUCUGGCCUUCAGGGAAGACAUCAUCCCUAGCCCUGGUGGUGGCCUUGGAGCUUUGGUUCAUGGGGCCACCCCUCCUGUUCAGGCCCACUGCACUGAUGCAUUGGCUUGGGACCCUCCUCGGGCAGUUGCCGCAGCUGAAACGGCAGGGGCUGGCGGUUUUGGGUUGGGCAUCGUGGAAGAUUGGGACCCUGUGUGGCCUCUCAUGCCUGGGAAGUCGGCUGUCCACAGUGAGGCCUCCUUUGGUUUACAGGAAUUUCGUAGGAAUUAUAUAGGAUAUGAUUCCUAUGGGAAAACUCAUAUGGCUCCUAUUCCUAUGAUAUUCCUAUCCUAUGAACCAAAGGAGGCCUGA